rfam:Rattus norvegicus chromosome 17, whole genome shotgun sequence.
CCAAAGGCUCUUUUCAGAGCCACACACGGUUUCAAGUAAAAUAGCU